UUCCUGAUCCUUUAUAACAGAUGCUUGCAAACUUUUUUGACUUCAACCCACAAUAAUAAAUCCAUUUUACAUGUUCACAUACUAUGUAACAACAUUCACAUGUUUAUUUAACAAAUUCCUCAUGCAACAAUGUACACCUAUGUAUAUGAGGUAUUCUGACAUCCUCUAUCCUAUCUUUUCCAUUUCAUUCUAUUUGUGAAAAAUAUAUUUGUGAGAAAUAUAUGCUGGGAGUCAGGAAGAUCAUUUGCUGAGCCACGAAUGAGUUGUGACCAGCACUGGAAAAAUUCUGUGAGACAGGCGAGCACACUUGCCCCCACGGUGCAUGUGGAAGUGUUUCGAAGUGUUUUUUGUAUUCCUGUCAGGGUGUGCGAGGAGACCAAGGCAGGGCGGUGUACUGACGUGGAAGGAUUCUGUAGAGACGGGGAGCACCAGAACCCCUGAAGGGGAGCCCGGCUGGAGGAGAGGGUGAGCUUCUCGUUAAGGACACUGUUACCAAACCUUGAGGGGAAUAUCAAGUUCCAGAAACAUGGCAGAAGCAAGUCCUUCCUGGGCCCAAAGUGAAUGUUUGGUCAGUAGGAAAAUGACCAGGAAGACUCACAGCUGGAGGUGCAGGGACCUGGGUGACCAAUGGCUCUGCCGAAGAUCCCAGGACCAGGACUGAGGCCUCAAGUCUCACUGGACUUAAGAAAGGGCAACUUUCUUGGCCACAGUAGGAGUUGCCCCUUUCUAGUGAAGAGCUAAUAUGGAGAGAAGUAAAGAUCAGGCUGUGACACCGUGUGGCAGGAGGGAGGAAGUAGGGGCAGGGGACCCAGAAGAGGGCAGCCCAGCAUGUGGGGACUGUCAGUGCUCCUUCCUGACCUGCUCCUUCGGGGAUGCUCUCUCGUGGGAGGCUCCGUACCCAGCAUUUCUGUGGGCACUCCAUAAAGUGGAAGUGUAAUUGCUUAACCAGAAAAUAGACAUGAAGGCACGGAGAAGGUAGAGUAUCAGUCACUUCUAAAUGUGAAUUAAUGUCCUUGUUUGAUGGUAGAGCAUGGGACACUGUAACAGAGGGUGUGAUGGAAACUGUAUUGAGUGGCUUUAGACAACCAGUGGAAAUGAGAGCAAAGGGCCCCCAAGAGAU